rnacentral:rRNA from 1 species
AGCGAAAUUCCUUGUCGGGUAAGUUCCGACCCGCACGAAAGGCGUAACGAUUUGGGCACUGUCUCAACGAGAGACUCGGUGAAAUUUUAGUACCUGUGAAGAUGCAGGUUACCCGCGACAGGACGGAAAGACCCCAUGGAGCUUUACUGUAGUUUGAUAUUGAGUGUCUGUACCGCAUGUACAGGAUAGGUAGGAGCCGUAGAAGUCGGGACGCCAGUUUCGACUGAGGCGCUGGUGGGAUACUACCCUUGCGUUAUGGCCACUCUAACCCGCACCACUGAUCGUGGUGGGAGACAGUGUCAGAUGGGCAGUUUGACUGGGGCGGUCGCCUCCUAAAAGGUAACGGAGGCGCCCAAAGGUUCCCUCAGAAUGGUUGGAAAUCAUUCGCAGAGUGUAAAGGCAGAAGGGAGCUUGACUGCGAGAGCUACAACUCGAGCAGGGACGAAAGUCGGGCUUAGUGAUCCGGUGGUUCCGCAUGGAAGGGCCAUCGCUCAACGGAUAAAAGCUACCCUGGGGAUAACAGGCUUAUACCGCCCAAGAGUUCAUAUCGACGGCGGUGUUUGGCACCUCGAUGUCGGCUCAUCACAUCCUGGGGCUGAAGCCGGUCCCAAGGGUAUGGCUGUUCGCCAUUUAAAGUGGUACGCGAGCUGGGUUUAGAACGUCGUGAGACAGUUCGGUCCCUAUCUGCCGUGGACGUUUGAGAUUUGAGAGGGGCUGCUCCUAGUACGAGAGGACCGGAGUGGACGAACCUCUGGUGUUCCGGUUGUCACGCCAGUGGCAUUGCCGGGUAGCUAUGUUCGGAAGAGAUAACCGCUGAAAGCAUCUAAGCGGGAAACUUGCCUCAAGAUGAGAUCUCACUGGGAUCUUGAAUCCCCUAAAGGGCCGUCGAAGACUACGACGUUGAUAGGUUGGGUGUGUAAGCGCUGUGAGGCGUUGAGCUAACCAAUACUAAUUGCCCGUGAGGCUUGA